AGAACGAACGCUGGCGGCAUGCCUAACACAUGCAAGUCGAACGUGAUCCAGGCUUCGGCCUGGUGAAAGUGGCAGACGGGUGAGUAACGCGUGGGAACCUGCCCUGUGGUAGGGAAUAACCGUGGGAAACUGCGGCUAAUACCCUAUGAGUCCUUCGGGAGAAAGAUUUAUCGCCAUAGGAGGGGCCCGCGUCGGAUUAGGUAGUUGGUGGGGUAACGGCCUACCAAGCCUUCGAUCCGUAGCUGGUCUGAGAGGAUGAUCAGCCACACUGGGACUGAGAUACGGCCCAGACUCCUACGGGAGGCAGCAGUGGGGAAUAUUGGACAAUGGGGGGCAACCCUGAUCCAGCAAUGCCGCGUGGAUGAUGAAGGCCUUCGGGUUGUAAAGUCCUUUCGGCGGGAAGAUGAUGACGGUACCGCAGAAGAACGCCCGGCUAACUUCGCGCCAGCAGCCGC
rnacentral:rRNA from 1 species